rnacentral:rRNA from 1 species
GUGCAGCAGGCGCGAAUUUUUCACAAUGGGGGCAACCCUGAUGGAGCGACGCCGCGUGGAGGAUGAAGGCUUUCGGUUGUAAACUCCUGUCAUUUGAGAACAAGUGUAGCCAACUAACUAUUGGCUACUUGAUAGUAUCAGAAGAGGAAGGGACGGCUAACUCUGUGCCAGCAGCCGCGGUAAUACAGAGGUCCCAAGCGUUGUUCGGAUUCAUUGGGCGUAAAGGGUGCGUAGGUGGCGCCGUAAGUGGGGUGUGAAAUUUCGGAGCUUAACUCCGAAACUGCAUUCCAUACUGCGGUGCUUGAGGACUGGAGAGGAGACUGGAAUUCAUGGUGUAGCAGUGAAAUGCGUAGAGAUCAUGAGGAAGACCAGUGGCGAAGGCGGGUCUCUGGACAGUUCCUGACACUGAGGCACGAAGGCUAGGGAGCGAACGGGAUUAGAUACCCUGUAGU